rnacentral:snoRNA from 11 species
GUCUGGUUGAUGAAUCAGGACCAUGUGAACAGAGCGUGAUUAACAGAGCUCAUGGUCUUUAUCUUUAACCAUGGCUCAGUAGAGGAUCGUUGCGAGCCCAUCUGAUGUGUCCUUGCCAUGGUCACAUGGUUGUCUGACAGAC